rnacentral:rRNA from 1 species
UACAGAGGGUGCGAGCGUUGUCCGGAAUCACUGGGCGUAAAGGGCACGUAGGCGGCUUGAUAAGCGUGCGGUGAAAGCCCGGGGCUCAACCCCGGGUCGGCCGUGCGAACUGUCGAGCUGGAGCACUGUAGAGGCAGGUGGAAUUCCGGGUGUAGCGGUGGAAUGCGUAGAGAUCCGGAAGAACACCGGUGGCGAAGGCGGCCUGCUGGGCAGUGGCUGACGCUGAGGCGCGACAGCGUGGGGAGCAAACAGG